rnacentral:rRNA from 1 species
GUGUCAGCAGCCGCGGUAAGACGUAGGUGGCAAGCGUUGUUCGGAAUCACUGGGCAUAAAGCGCGCGUAGGCGGCGGAGUAAGUCGGGUGUGAAAUCCCUCGGCUCAACCGAGGAACUGCGCCCGAUACUGCUUUGCUUGAGGGCCGGAGGGGAGAGUGGAAUUCCCGGUGGAGCGGUGAAAUGCGUAGAGAUCGGGAAGAACGCCGGCGGCGAAAGCGACUCUCUGGUCGGUACCUGACGCUGAGGCGCGAAAGCUAGGGGAGCAAACGGGAUUAGAUACCCCCGUAGUCC